ensembl:lncRNA
CUAUAACAACAAAGAAUUACUAUAUUGCCCCCAACUGUAUCAUACUCUAUUUUGAGAAGUGUUUGAUAGACACAGAACAUCUGGAAACAAUUAAUAAACUCUUCUGAGCUUGUGAACAGGCCUGCCUGACCCAACUGGAAAGUUAACCAUCUUCAGAUCACAGUGUGCUUCAUCAGAAUUACCCAUGGCCUGGUUCAGACUGGAUCCACUUAGGGUUCUUUCAUUUGCUUGUUUCAGAUAAUUUCGUCAUCCUCAGUUGCAAAGUCAUGUCCAUCUCUUUGCAACCCCAUGGACUGUAGUCCACUAGGCUUCUCUGUUCAUGGGCUUUUCCCGGCAAGAAUACUGGAGUGGGUGGCCAUUUCCUUCUCCACAGGAUCUUCCAACCCAGGAAUCGAGCCUGCGUCUCUUAUGUUUCUUGCAUUGGCAGGUGGAUUCUUUUACCACUGAGUCAUCUGGGAAGCCCAGGAGCCCACAACUACUACUGCCCACCCCACAUCCCAGCGUUUCCCACCAGAAUAAGAUUCCCUUCAGAUGAUAGUACCCGAUGUUUGCAUCCCUGCAGUUUUGUCUUAAGCCUGAAAUGCCGCAGAAUGCACUUCACAAACUGCAUGUUUUAAAAACACUCCCCUGGUGCCUGUGUGAUUUUGAAGUGCUGCAGAAGGCGCACUAAAGGCUUAUUAAGGCUUAUUAAAAGGAGGGUUUUAUGGACUGAGACUUUGGGGAGGACUUUGGGUAAUUAUUAUCUGGAAUGCUGAAAAACAGGUCAGAUGUCAUCAGGCAAAUCCAGAUAAACUGUUGAGUUGGGGGAAAUUAACCUUCCCCUACACCUACAUAUUAAGUACUUUGUAGUUAUUAUUAACCCAAUACCAUCAAGGCUAUGAUGUCAUCCACAGUUGUCUGGUCAAGCAGUGUGCCUGACAAUUACACUACCCCUUCCUGGAAGCCUCAGAAAGUCCGCCUUGCCCACAGCCCCUCUUUGAGGGCUUCCUUACACAGCAUCUGAUUCCUGGCUCAGUGGAAUGUGCAGGGGCGGGACCUGACAAACAGCACCUUCCUUCAGGCUUACCAAAAGUCUGCAGACAUGCUCUGCCCAACAGAAUAGAUCUCUGCUGGGUAGUAGUAAACUACGAGUAUAAACUGUCUAGUAUAAACCAUCUCGAUUCUCUGUGGGUCCAUUUGACUGUGCAAUACACAAAGUACAGUGUUUAGGGCAGAAGCAGGAAAACAUACAGAGGAAAGUGAAGGCAGAGAGAAAGCAGAAACCAUGGGUGGUCAAGAAGGAGAGAAGAGAGGAGACUGGGAAUCUCUGAGGCAAGAGCAGAGAGAGACUGAGACCUGUGUAGGGCAUGAAGGGUGAGGCUUCCUGCUGAGAAGGCGCUAACUACUGGCUUCAGCUGUGUCUCCAACCACCUGUCAGGGCAGCACAGAUGUUUCUGCUUUUAUCUCUAUAUAUCGU